rnacentral:rRNA from 1 species
AUUGAACGCGGCGGCAUGCUUUACACAUGCAAGUCGGACGGCAGCACAGAGAAGCUUGCUUCUUGGGUGGCGAGUGGCGAACGGGUGAGUAACAUAUCGGAACGUACCGAGCAGUGGGGGAUAACUAAUCGAAAGAUUAGCUAAUACCGCAUAUAUUCUGAGGAAGAAAGCAGGGGACCAUUUGGCCUUGCGCUGUUUGAGCGGCCGAUAUUGAUAGCUAGUUGGUGGGGUAAAGGCCUACCAAGGCGACGAUCAGUAGCGGGUCUGAGAGGAUGAUCCGCCACACUGGGACUGAGACACGGCCCAGACUCCUACGGGAGGCAGCAGUGGGGAAUUUUGGACAAUGGGCGCAAGCCUGAUCCAGCCAUGCCGCGUGUCUGAAGAAGGCCUUCGGGUUGUAAAGGACUUUUGUCAGGGAAGAAAAGGGCGGGGUUAAUACCCCUGUCUGAUGACGUACCUGAAGAAUAAGCCCCGCA